rnacentral:rRNA from 1 species
CACUAUCGUUAACUGAAUACAUAGGUUAACGAGGCGAACCGGGGGAACUGAAACAUCUAAGUACCCCGAGGAAAAGAAAUCAACCGAGAUUCCCCCAGUAGCGGCGAGCGAACGGGGAGCAGCCCAGAGUCUGAAUCAGCUUGUGUGUUAGUGGAACGGUCUGGAAAGUCCGACGGUACAGGGUGAUAGUCCCGUACACCAAAAUGCACAGGCUGUGAACUCGAAGAGUAGGGCGGGACACGUGGUAUCCUGUCUGAAUAUGGGGGGACCAUCCUCCAAGGCUAAAUACUCCUGACUGACCGAUAGUGAACCAGUACCGUGAGGGAAAGGCGAAAAGAACCCCGGCGAGGGGAGUGAAAAAGAACCUGAAACCGUGUACGUACAAGCAGUGGGAGCACCUUCGGGUGUGACUGCGUACCUUUUGUAUAAUGGGUCAGCGACUUAUAUUCUGUAGCAAGGUUAACCGUAUAGGGGAGCCGCAGGGAAACCGAGUCUUAACUGGGCGUUAAGUUGCAGGGUAUAGACCCGAAACCCGGUGAUCUAGCCAUGGGCAGGUUGAAGGUUGGGUAACACUAACUGGAGGACCGAACCGACUAAUGUUGAAAAAUUAGCGGAUGACUUGUGGCUGGGGGUGAAAGGCCAAUCAAACCGGGAGAUAGCUGGUUCUCCCCGAAAGCUAUUUAGGUAGCGCCUCGUGAAUUCAUCUUCGGGGGUAGAGCACUGUUUCGGCUAGGGGGUCAUCCCGACUUACCAACCCGAUGCAAACUACGAAUACCGAAGAAUGUUAUCACGGGAGACACACGGCGGGUGCUAACGUCCGUCGUGAAGAGGGAAACAACCCAGACCGCCAGCUAAGGUCCCAAAGUCAUGGUUAAGUGGGAAACGAUGUGGGAAGGCACAGACAGCCAGGAUGUUGGCUUAGAAGCAGCCAUCAUUUAAAGAAAGCGUAAUAGCUCACUGGUCGAGUCGGCCUGCGCGGAAGAUGUAACGGGGCUAAACCAUGCACCGAAGCUGCGGCAGCGACACUAUGUGUUGUUGGGUAGGGGAGCGUUCUGUAAGCCUGCGAAGGUGACCUGUGAGGGUUGCUGGAGGUAUCAGAAGUGCGAAUGCUGACAUAAGUAACGAUAAAGCGGGUGAAAAGCCCGCUCGCCGGAAGACCAAGGGUUCCUGUCCAACGUUAAUCGGGGCAGGGUGAGUCGACCCCUAAGGCGAGGCCGAAAGGCGUAGUCGAUGGGAAACAGGUUAAUAUUCCUGUACUUGGUGUUACUGCGAAGGGGGGACGGAGAAGGCUAUGUUAGCCGGGCGACGGUUGUCCCGGUUUAAGCAUGUAGGCUGGUUGUCCAGGCAAAUCCGGAUAAUCAAGGCUGAGGUGUGAUGACGAGGCACUACGGUGCUGAAGUAACAAAUGCCCUGCUUCCAGGAAAAGCCUCUAAGCAUCAGGUAACAUUAAAUCGUACCCCAAACCGACACAGGUGGUCAGGUAGAGAAUACCAAGGCGCUUGAGAGAACUCGGGUGAAGGAACUAGGCAAAAUGGUGCCGUAACUUCGGGAGAAGGCACGCUGGUGUGUAGGUGAAGUCCCUGCGGAUGGAGCUGAGACCAGUCGAAGAUACCAGCUGGCUGCAACUGUUUAUUAAAAACACAGCACUGUGCAAACACGAAAGUGGACGUAUACGGUGUGACGCCUGCCCGGUGCCGGAAGGUUAAUUGAUGGGGUUAUCCGUAAGGAGAAGCUCUUGAUCGAAGCCCCGGUAAACGGCGGCCGUAACUAUAACGGUCCUAAGGUAGCGAAAUUCCUUGUCGGGUAAGUUCCGACCUGCACGAAUGGCGUAAUGAUGGCCAGGCUGUCUCCACCCGAGACUCAGUGAAAUUGAACUCGCUGUGAAGAUGCAGUGUACCCGCGGCAAGACGGAAAGACCCCGUGAACCUUUACUAUAGCUUGACACUGAACAUUGAGCCUUGAUGUGUAGGAUAGGUGGGAGGCUUUGAAGCGUGGACGCCAGUCUGCGUGGAGCCAACCUUGAAAUACCACCCUUUAAUGUUUGAUGUUCUAACGUUGGCCCCUUAUCGGGGUUGCGGACAGUGUCUGGUGGGUAGUUUGACUGGGGCGGUCUCCUCCCAAAGCGUAACGGAGGAGCACGAAGGUUAGCUAAUCCUGGUCGGACAUCAGGAGGUUAGUGCAAUGGCAUAAGCUAGCUUGACUGCGAGCGUGACGGCGCGAGCAGGUGCGAAAGCAGGUCAUAGUGAUCCGGUGGUUCUGAAUGGAAGGGCCAUCGCUCAACGGAUAAAAGGUACUCCGGGGAUAACAGGCUGAUACCGCCCAAGAGUUCAUAUCGACGGCGGUGUUUGGCACCUCGAUGUCGGCUCAUCACAUCCUGGGGCUGAAGUAGGUCCCAAGGGUAUGGCUGUUCGCCAUUUAAAGUGGUACGCGAGCUGGGUUUAGAACGUCGUGAGACAGUUCGGUCCCUAUCUGCCGUGGGCGCUGGAGAAUUGAGGGGGGCUGCUCCUAGUACGAGAGGACCGGAGUGGACGCAUCACUGGUGUUCGGGUUGUCAUGCCAAUGGCACUGCCCGGUAGCUAAAUGCGGAAGAGAUAAGUGCUGAAAGCAUCUAAGCACGAAACUUGCCCCGAGAUGAGUUCUCCCUGAGACUUUAAGUCUCCUGAAGGAACGUUAAAGACGAUGACGUUGAUAGGCCGGGUGUGUAAGCGCAGCGAUGCGUUGAGCUAACCGGUACUAAUGAACCGUGAGGCUUAACCUU